UGGAGCGUGUGGUUUAAUUCGAUGCAACACGAAGAACCUUACCAAGGCUUGACAUGUUGGAAGUAAUGAACCGAAAGGGGAAUGACCUGUAUCCAGUCAGGAGCCAUCACAGGUGCUGCAUGGCUGUCGUCAGCUCGUGCCGUGAGGUGUUGGGUUAAGUCCCGCAACGAGCGCAACCCUCGUUGCCAGUUAUUUUCUCUGGCGAGACUGCCCCGCAAAACGGGGAGGUAGGUGGGGAUGACGUCAAGUCAGCAUGGCCUUUAUAUCUUGGGCA
rnacentral:rRNA from 1 species